UACGGUGGUUAUAGCGCCGGGGUUCCACCUCUUCCCAUUCCGAACAGAGCAGUUAAGCCCGGUCGCGCCGAUGAUACUGCAUAACUGCGGGAAAGUAGGUCGCCGCCAUUU
rnacentral:rRNA from 1 species